UGAAAUCAACCAAGAUU
rnacentral:rRNA from 1 species